AAACAUCAUAACCCUCACCACGACACUUGUAUAAUUUCCACAAAAAUCAUAAAUAUACCACAACACAGCAUCACGUCAGCAAUAUCGAAUAAUUAUGUAAUUAAUAACUCAUACUAGUACGCAAGUCGGAGUCACCUAUGGUGACCUAUACGACUUACCCAUAUCUCAUCACAUAUACUAGUUCAUCACAUAUGCUAGCUCAUCGCAUAUUCAUCACGUAUGCUAGCUCAUCACAUAUUCAUCACAUAUUCAUUGCAUAUGCUAGCUCAUCACCUAUUCAUCACAUAUUCAUCAUGUAUGCUAGCUUAUCACAUAUUCAUCACGUAUGCUAGCUUAUCACAUAUUCAUCACAUAUGCUAGCUCAUCACAUAUUCAUCACAUAUGCUAGCUUAUAAGUCGGAGUCACCCUAGUGACCUAUACGACUUAUCCAUAUCUCCUCAUAUAUCUCAUUAGUCAUUGCUAGCAUAUAAGUCGGAGUUACAUGUAGUGACCUGUACGACAUAUUCGUAUCUCAUCGCAUAUGCAAAUGAUAUGUCAGCCGGAUCCACCUCUUGUGGUCUAUACGGCUAAGUCUAUAGCU
rnacentral:lncRNA from 1 species